rnacentral:rRNA from 1 species
AUUGAACGCUGGCGGCAGGCCUAACACAUGCAAGUCGAACGAGUGGCGGACGGGUGAGUAAUGUCUGGGAAACUGCCUGAUGGAGGGGGAUAACUACUGGAAACGGUAGCUAAUACCGCAUACCAUCGGAUGUGCCCAGAUGGGAUUAGCUAGUGGGUGGGGUAAAGGCUCACCUAGGCGACGAUCCCUAGCUGGUCUGAGAGGAGGAACAGCCACACUAGAACUGAAAUAAGGCCCAGACCCCUACGGGAGGCGGCAGUGGAGAAUAUUGCACAAUGGGAGCAAGCCUAAUGCGACCAUGCCGCGUGUAGGAAGAAGGCCUUCGGGUUGUAAAGGACUUUCAGCGGGGAGGCGUUACCCGAAGAAGAAGCACCGGCUAACUCCGUGCCAGCAGCCGCGGUAAUAC